ACGAACGCUGGCGGCGUGCCUAAUACAUGCAAGUCGAACGAAGCUUUCUUUCACCGAAUGCUUGCAUUCACCGAAAGAAGCUUAGUGGCGAACGGGUGAGUAACACGUAGGCAACCUGCCCAAAAGAGGGGGAUAACACUUGGAAACAGGUGCUAAUACCGCAUAACCAUGAACACCGCAUGAUGUUCAUGUAAAAGACGGCUUUUGCUGUCACUUUUGGAUGGGCCUGCGGCGUAUUAACUUGUUGGUGGGGUAACGGCCUACCAAGGUGAUGAUACGUAGCCGAACUGAGAGGUUGAUCGGCCACAUUGGGACUGAGACACGGCCCAAACUCCUACGGGAGGCAGCAGUAGGGAAUCUUCCACAAUGGACGAAAGUCUGAUGGAGCAACGCCGCGUGAAUGAAGAAGGCCUUCGGGUCGUAAAAUUCUGUUGUCAGAGAAGAACGUGCGUGAGAGUAACUGUUCACGUAUUGACGGUAUCUGACCAGAAAGCCACGGCUAACUACGUGCCAGCAGCCGCGGUAAUACGUAGGUGGCGAGCGUUGUCCGGAUUUAUUGGGCGUAAAGGGAACGCAGGCGGUCUUUUAAGUCUGAUGUGAAAGCCUUCGGCUUAACCGAAGUAGUGCAUUGGAAACUGGAAGACUUGAGUGCAGAAGAGGAGAGUGGAACUCCAUGUGUAGCGGUGAAAUGCGUAGAUAUAUGGAAGAACACCAGUGGCGAAAGCGGCUCUCUGGUCUGUAACUGACGCUGAGGUUCGAAAGCGUGGGUAGCAAACAGGAUUAGAUACCCUGGUAGUCCACGCCGUAAACGAUGAGUGCUAAGUGUUGGAGGGUUUCCGCCCUUCAGUGCUGCAGCUAACGCAUUAAGCACUCCGCCUGGGGAGUACGGUCGCAAGACUGAAACUCAAAGGAAUUGACGGGGGCCCGCACAAGCGGUGGAGCAUGUGGUUUAAUUCGAAGCAACGCGAAGAACCUUACCAGGUCUUGACAUCUUCUGACAAUUCCAGAGAUGGAACGUUCCCUUCGGGGACAGAAUGACAGGUGGUGCAUGGUUGUCGUCAGCUCGUGUCGUGAGAUGUUGGGUUAAGUCCCGCAACGAGCGCAACCCUUGUAUUUAGUUGCUACGCAAGAGCACUCUAGAUAGACUGCCGUGGACAACACGGAGGAAGGUGGGGAUGACGUCAAAUCAUCAUGCCCCUUAUGACCUGGGCUACACACGUGCUACAAUGGACGGUACAACGAGUCGCUAACUCGCGAGGGCAAGCUAAUCUCUUAAAGCCGUUCUCAGUUCGGAUUGCAGGCUGCAACUCGCCUGCAUGAAGUCGGAAUCGCUAGUAAUCGCGAAUCAGCAUGUCGCGGUGAAUACGUUCCCGGGCCUUGUACACACCGCCCGUCACACCAUGAGAGUUUGUAACACCCGAAGUCGGUGGGGUAACCUUUUGGAGCCAGCCGCCUAAGGUGGGACAGAUGAUUGGGGUG
rnacentral:rRNA from 1 species